GGUAAUAUGGCUGAGCAAGCGUUAGACUGUAAAUCUAAAGACAGAAGCUGAACCUUCUUGUUACC
rnacentral:tRNA from 1 species